GUCCAUCUGACGAGUCCCAAAUAGGACGAAACGCGCGUCCUGGAU
rfam:Schistosoma rodhaini strain Burundi genome assembly, scaffold: SROB_scaffold0000156